AUUGAACGCUGGCGGCAGGCCUAACACAUGCAAGUCGAGCGGAUGAGAGGAGCUUGCUCCUUGAUUCAGCGGCGGACGGGUGAGUAAUGCCUAGGAAUCUGCCUGGUAGUGGGGGACAACGUUUCGAAAGGAACGCUAAUACCGCAUACGUCCUACGGGAGAAAGCAGGGGACCUUCGGGCCUUGCGCUAUCAGAUGAGCCUAGGUCGGAUUAGCUAGUAGGUGGGGUAAUGGCCCACCUAGGCGACGAUCCGUAACUGGUCUGAGAGGAUGAUCAGUCACACUGGAACUGAGACACGGUCCAGACUCCUACGGGAGGCAGCAGUGGGGAAUAUUGGACAAUGGGCGAAAGCCUGAUCCAGCCAUGCCGCGUGUGUGAAGAAGGUCUUCGGAUUGUAAAGCACUUUAAGUUGGGAGGAAGGGAAGUUAGUUAAUACCUGACUGUUUUGACGUUACCAACAGAAUAAGCACCGGCUAACUUCGUGCCAGCAGCCGCCGUAAUAC
rnacentral:rRNA from 1 species